rnacentral:rRNA from 1 species
AGGAAUCUGGAGGACAGGUGCUGCAUGGCUGUCGUCAGCUCGUGUCGUGAGAUGUUGGGUUAAGUCCCGCAACGAGCGCAACCCUUGCCUUUAGUUGCCAGCAGUUCGGCUGGGCACUCUAAAGGGACUGCCGGUGUUAAACCGGAGGAAGUGGGGAUGACGUCAAGUCCUCAUGGCCUUUAUGACCAGGGCUACACACGUACUACAAUGGCCGAUACAAAGGGCAGCGACACUGCGAGGUGAAGCCAAUCCCGUAAAAUCGGUCUCAGUCCGGAUUGGAGUCUGCAACUCGACUCCAUGAAGUUGGAAUCGCUAGUAAUCGUGGAUCAGCAUGCCACGGUGAAUACGUUCCCGGGCCUU